rnacentral:rRNA from 1 species
UCCAGACUCCUACGGGAGGCAGCAGUGGGGGAUAUUGCACAAUGGGGGAAACCCUGAUGCAGCGACGCCGCGUGAGUGAAGAAGUAAUUCGUUACGUAAAGCUCUAUCAGCAGGGAAGAAAAUGACGGUACCUGACUAAGAAGCCCCGGCUAACUACGUGCCAGCAGCCGCGGUAAUACGUAGGGGGCAAGCGUUAUCCGGAAUUACUGGGUGUAAAGGGAGCGCAGACGGCAGUGCAAGUCUGGAGUGAAAGCCCGUGGCUUAACCACGGGACUGCUCUGGAAACUGUUAAGCUGGAGUACUGGGGAGGCAAGCGGAAUUCCUAGUGUAGCGGUGAAAUGCGUAGAUAUUAGGAGGAACACCAGUGGCGAAGGCGGCUUGCUGGACAGAGACUGACGUUGAGGCUCGAAAGCGUGGGGAGCAAACAGGAUUAGAUACCCGUGUA